rnacentral:rRNA from 1 species
GAUGAACGCUGGCGGCGUGCCUAAUACAUGCAAGUCGAGCGAACGGACGAGAAGCUUGCUUCUCUGAUGUUAGCGGCGGACGGGUGAGUAACACGUGGAUAACCUACCUAUAAGACUGGGAUAACUUCGGGAAACCGGAGCUAAUACCGGAUAAUAUUUUGAACCGCAUGGUUCAAAAGUGAAAGACGGUCUUGCUGUCACUUAUAGAUGGAUCCGCGCUGCAUUAGCUAGUUGGUAAGGUAACGGCUUACCAAGGCAACGAUGCAUAGCCGACCUGAGAGGGUGAUCGGCCACACUGGAACUGAGACACGGUCCAGACUCCUACGGGAGGCAGCAGUAGGGAAUCUUCCGCAAUGGGCGAAAGCCUGACGGAGCAACGCCGCGUGAGUGAUGAAGGUCUUCGGAUCGUAAAACUCUGUUAUUAGGGAAGAACAUAUGUGUAAGUAACUGUGCACAUCUUGACGGUACCUAAUCAGAAAGCCACGGCUAACUACGUGCCAGCAGCCGCGGUAAUACGUAGGUGGCAAGCGUUAUCCGGAAUUAUUGGGCGUAAAGCGCGCGUAGGCGGUUUUUUAAGUCUGAUGUGAAAGCCCACGGCUCAACCGUGGAGGGUCAUUGGAAACUGGAAAACUUGAGUGCAGAAGAGGAAAGUGGAAUUCCAUGUGUAGCGGUGAAAUGCGCAGAGAUAUGGAGGAACACCAGUGGCGAAGGCGACUUUCUGGUCUGUAACUGACGCUGAUGUGCGAAAGCGUGGGGAUCAAACAGGAUUAGAUACCCUGGUAGUCCACGCCGUAAACGAUGAGUGCUAAGUGUUAGGGGGUUUCCGCCCCUUAGUGCUGCAGCUAACGCAUUAAGCACUCCGCCUGGGGAGUACGACCGCAAGGUUGAAACUCAAAGGAAUUGACGGGGACCCGCACAAGCGGUGGAGCAUGUGGUUUAAUUCGAAGCAACGCGAAGAACCUUACCAAAUCUUGACAUCCUUUGACAACUCUAGAGAUAGAGCCUUCCCCUUCGGGGGACAAAGUGACAGGUGGUGCAUGGUUGUCGUCAGCUCGUGUCGUGAGAUGCUGGGUUAAGUCCCGCAACGAGCGCAACCCUUAAGCUUAGUUGCCAUCAUUAAGUUGGGCACUCUAAGUUGACUGCCGGUGACAAACCGGAGGAAGGUGGGGAUGACGUCAAAUCAUCAUGCCCCUUAUGAUUUGGGCUACACACGUGCUACAAUGGACAAUACAAAGGGCAGCGAAACCGCGAGGUCAAGCAAAUCCCAUAAAGUUGUUCUCAGUUCGGAUUGUAGUCUGCAACUCGACUACAUGAAGCUGGAAUCGCUAGUAAUCGUAGAUCAGCAUGCUACGGUGAAUACGUUCCCGGGUCA